UCUCCGAUCGUAUAGUGGCUAGUAUGCCAGCUUGUCAAGGAAUCCUUCCUUACAGAUCGCUGGAGACCGGGGUUCAAUUCCCCGUCGGAGAG
rnacentral:tRNA from 1 species